rnacentral:rRNA from 1 species
AACGAACGCUGGCGGCAUGCCUAACACAUGCAAGUCGAACGAGACCUUCGGGUCUAGUGGCGCACGGGUGCGUAACGCGUGGGAACCUGCCCUUAGGUUCGGAAUAACUCCCCGAAAGGGGUGCUAAUACCGGAUAAUGUCUUCGGACCAAAGAUUUAUCGCCUUUGGAUGGGCCCGCGUUGGAUUAGCUAGUUGGUAGGGUAAAAGCCUACCAAGGCGACGAUCCAUAGCUGGUCUGAGAGAAUGAUCAGCCACACUGGGACUGAGACACGGCCCAGACUCCUACGGGAGGCAGCAGUGGGGAAUAUUGGACAGUGGGCGAAAGCCUGAUCCAGCAAGGCCGCGUGAGUGAUGAAGGCCUUAGGGUUGUAAAGCUCUUUUACCCGGGAUGAUAAUGACAGUACCGGGAGAAUAAGCUCCGGCUAACUCCGUG